CCGGCGACCGGCGCACGGGUGAGUAACACGUAUGCGACCUGCCCCCGCAGGGGGAUAACCGGGAGAAAUCCCGACUAAUACCGCGUAACGCCGCGGACCUGCAUGGGUCUGCGGCCAAAGGAAGCGAUUCCGGCGGGGGAUGGGCAUGCGGCGCAUUAGCUAGUCGGCGGGGUAACGGUCCACCGAGGCGACGAUGCGUAGGGGUUCUGAGAGGAAGGUCCCCCACACUGGUACUGAGACACGGACCAGACUCCUACGGGAGGCAGCAG
rnacentral:rRNA from 1 species